GGGGAUGAUCGGUAUCGACGAUGUUUGCCGUAUCUGGGGAAGCGGGCCGAGGAUGCAGGGUUAUCUCGCAAACGCCCCCUGUAAACAAAUAAGUGCCAAACCUAUGCGCACUGACUUCGCUCUCGCCGCCUAGGCCAGAGUGAGUCCGUCAGACCGGAAACGCUUCCGUUCCGGAUCCUGGCGUCGUUAAGGAAGCCACUGCCGGACACCGCUGCCGUUCAGGUGUCCGGGACGACUGGAACGGCUGGGCCUGGAUCAGCCACCCGCCUGCGGGAGGGCUGGGGCCGAGAAAAUCCACAGCAGGCUGCGCCCGGAGAAGCCCAGGCACGUCGGCGUCGGACGGGGGUUCGAUUCCCCCCAUCUCCACCA
rfam:Arthrobacter sp. Edens01 contig_10, whole genome shotgun sequence.